UACGGAGGGGACUAGCGUUGUUCGGAAUUACUGGGCGUAAAGCGCACGUAGGCGGAUUUGUAAGUCAGGGGUGAAAUCCCGGGGCUCAACCUCGGAACUGCCUUUGAUACUGCAAAUCUCGAGUCCGGAAGAGGUGAGUGGAAUUCCUGGUGUAGUGGUGAAAUGCGUAGAGAUCCGGAGGAGCACCAGUGGCGAAGGCGACACGCUGGGCCGUACCUGACACUGAGGCGCGAUAGCAUGGGGAGCAAACAGG
rnacentral:rRNA from 1 species